AGAGUUUGAUCAUGGCUCAGAUUGAACGCUGGCGGCAGGCUUAACACAUGCAAGUCGAGCGGUAACAGGAGAAGCUUGCUUCUCGCUGACGAGCGGCGGACGGGUGAGUAAUACUUAGGAAUCUACCUAGUAGUGGGGGAUAGCACGGGGAAACUCGUAUUAAUACCGCAUACGACCUACGGGAGAAAGGGGGCAGUUUACUGCUCUCGCUAUUAGAUGAGCCUAAGUCGGAUUAGCUAGAUGGUGGGGUAAAGGCCUACCAUGGCGACGAUCUGUAGCUGGUCUGAGAGGAUGAUCAACCACACCGGGACUGAGACACGGCCCGGACUCCUACGGGAGGCAGCAGUGGGGAAUAUUGGACAAUGGGGGAAACCCUGAUCCAGCCAUGCCGCGUGUGUGAAGAAGGCCUUUUGGUUGUAAAGCACUUUAAGCAGUGAAGAAGACUCCGUGGUUAAUACCCACGGACGAUGACAUUAGCUGCAGAAUAAGCACCGGCUAACUCUGUGCCAGCAGCCGCGGUAAUACAGAGGGUGCAAGCGUUAAUCGGAAUUACUGGGCGUAAAGGGAGCGUAGGUGGCUCUAUAAGUCAGAUGUGAAAUCCCCGGGCUUAACCUGGGAACUGCAUCUGAAACUGUAGAGCUAGAGUAUGUGAGAGGAAGGUAGAAUUCCAGGUGUAGCGGUGAAAUGCGUAGAGAUCUGGAGGAAUACCGAUGGCGAAGGCAGCCUUCUGGCAUAAUACUGACACUGAGGCUCGAAAGCGUGGGUAGCAAA
rnacentral:rRNA from 1 species